CACCUCAGUGUCAGUAUCAGUCCAGGUGGUCGCCUUCGCCACUGGUGUUCCUUCCUAUAUCUACGCAUUUCACCGCUACACAGGAAAUUCCACCACCCUCUACCAUACUCUAGCUUGUCAGUUUUGAAUGCAGUUCCCAGGUUGAGCCCGGGGAUUUCACAUCCAACUUAACAAACCACCUACGCGCGCUUUACGCCCAGUAAUUCCGAUUAACGCUUGCACCCUCUGUAUUACCGCGGCUGCUGGCACAGAGUUAGCCGGUGCUUAUUCUGUCGGUAACGUCAAAACAGCAAAGUAUUAAUUUACUGCCCUUCCUCCCAACUUAAAGUGCUUUACAAUCCGAAGACCUUCUUCACACACGCGGCAUGGCUGGAUCAGGCUUUCGCCCAUUGUCCAAUAUUCCCCACUGCUGCCUCCCGUAGGAGUCUGGACCGUGUCUCAGUUCCAGUGUGACUGAUCAUCCUCUCAGACCAGUUACGGAUCGUCGCCUUGGUGAGCCAUUACCUCACCAACUAGCUAAUCCGACCUAGGCUCAUCUGAUAGCGCAAGGCCCGAAGGUCCCCUGCUUUCUCCCGUAGGACGUAUGCGGUAUUAGCGUCCCUUUCGAGACGUUGUCCCCCACUACCAGGCAGAUUCCUAGGCAUUACUCACCCGUCCGCCGCUGAAUCAGAGAGCAAGCUCUCAUCAUCCGCUCGACUUGCAUGUGUUAGGCCUGCCGCCAGCGUUCAAU
rnacentral:rRNA from 1 species